rfam:Schistosoma margrebowiei strain Zambia genome assembly, scaffold: SMRZ_contig0000182
GCACCGUUGAGGAGUCCCAUAAUAGGACGAAACGGCCGUCCAGUGC